rnacentral:rRNA from 1 species
UGGGGAAUUUUGGACAAUGGGGGCAACCCUGAUCCAGCCAUGCCGCGUGAGUGAAGAAGGCCUUCGGGUUGUAAAGCUCUUUCGGCCGGGAAGAAAUCGCGCCAGCUAAUACCUGGUGUGGAUGACGGUACCGGAAGAAGAAGCACCGGCUAACUACGUGCCAGCAGCCGCGGUAAUACGUAGGGUGCGAGCGUUAAUCGGAAUUACUGGGCGUAAAGCGUGCGCUAGGCGGUUUUGUAAGACAGGUGUGAAAUCCCCGGGCUUAACCUGGGAACUGCGCUUGUGACUGCAAGACUUGAGUGCGGCAGAGGGGGAUGGAAUUCCAGUGUAGCAGUGAAAUGCGUAGAGAUGUGAGGAACACCGAUGGCGAAGGCAGCCCCCUGGGUCGACACGUGACGCUCA